rnacentral:rRNA from 1 species
AUAGUAUCUGUGGAUUAAAGGUGGCUUUUGGGCUGUCGCAGAUGGAUGAGCCUGCGUUGGAUUAGCUAGUUGGUGAGGUAAGGGCCUACCAAGGCUACGAUCCAUAGCUGAUUUGAGAGGAUGAUCAGCCACAUUGGGACUGAGACACGGCCCAAACUCCUACGGGAGGCAGCAGUGAGGAAUAUUGGACAAUGGGGGCAACCCUGAUCCAGCAAUGCCAUGUGUGUGAAGAAGGCCUUAGGGUUGUAAAGCACUUUAGUUGGGGAAGAAAGCUUUGAGGUUAAUAGCCUUGAGGAAAAGGACGUUACCCAAAGAAUAAGCACCGGCUAACUCCGUGCCAGCAGCCGCGGUAAUACGGGGGGUGCAAGCGUUAAUCGGAAUUACUGGGCGUAAAGGGUCUGUAGGUGGUUUGUUAAGUCAGAUGUGAAAGCCUAGGGCUCAACCUUGGAACUGCAUUUGAUACUGGUAAACUAGAGUACGGUAGAGGAAUGGGGAAUUUCUGGUGUAGCGGUGAAAUGCGUAGAGAUCAGAAGGAACACCAAUGGCGAAGGCAACAUUCUGGACCGAUACUGACACUGAGGGACGAAAGCGUGGGGAUCAAACAGGAUUAGAUACCCUGGUAGUCCACGCUGUAAACGAUGAGUACUAGCUGUUGGAGUCGGUGUAAAGGCUCUAGUGGCGCAGCUAACGCGAUAAGUACUCCGCCUGGGGACUACGGCCGCAAGGCUAAAACUCAAAGGAAUUGACGGGGACCCGCACAAGCGGUGGAGCAUGUGGUUUAAUUCGAUGCAACGCGAAGAACCUUACCUGGUCUUGACAUCCUGCGAUCUUUCUAGAGAUAGAUUGGUGCCUUCGGGAACGCAGUGACAGGUGCUGCACGGCUGUCGUCAGCUCGUGUUGUGAAAUGUUGGGUUAAGUCCCGCAACGAGCGCAACCCCUAUUGAUAGUUACCAUCAUUAAGUUGGGUACUCUAUUGAGACUGCCGCUGACAAGGCGGAAGAAGGUGGGGACGACGUCAAGUCAUCAUGGCCUUUACGACCAGGGCUAC